CACCGGUGAACUUACCGAGCAAGAGCUGGCCCAGCUGAAGGCCGCGAAGAUUCCCAAAGGGAGGAAAUGGAAAUCUUCGGAUCGGCGCGAUCCAAAUCGGGAUGAUUCGGCCAAGGAGAAUGAGAGCGUGCUGACGAAGUUGACGCUGGACGUGUUUGGCGUGUUUGAGGUGGAAGACACUCCGGACUCGCCCGAGGGAUGUGACCGAAGUGGUUCCCCUCCGAGAAGAAGCCAAACAACACGAGGCGACGCGUCUACCGAGCAACCAGGGGAUGGUGCAUCCGUGCUAUUGUGAAAAUAUUCAGCAAGCUGGGCAACGUGCAGGCCUUUUGCAAAGAGUGCGACGAGAUAUUCGGCACCAAGGGCGCUCUCAACGAACACCAGCUCACGCACAGCGACGAAAAUCGACGUCACGUUGAAUAUGACCACGGUCUCCACCAGAAGUUGGCCGAAUAGGUUCAAGCAAAAACUGCCAAGCAUUAGAGGGUGUACGAUUUAACGCAAGUGAGUAAUUGUUGAAUAAAAAAUGUAUUAAAAAGUGUUAACAUCACCAAAGGGGUUCAUUGGGUGAAAUUAACGAUUGUAAAUUGAUCAAUACAGCA